AGGCCUUGCGCUGAUUGAGCGGCCGAUAUCAGAUUAGCUAGUUGGUGAGGUAAAGGCUCACCAAGGCGACGAUCUGUAGCGGGUCUGAGAGGAUGAUCCGCCACACUGGAACUGAGACACGGUCCAGACUCCUACGGGAGGCAGCAGUGGGGAAUUUUGGACAAUGGGGGCAACCCUGAUCCAGCCAUGCCGCGUGAGUGAAGAAGGCCUUCGGGUUGUAAAGCUCUUUCGGCCGGGAAGAAAUCGUAUGGGUUAAUACCCUGUGCGGAUGACGGUACCGGCAUAAGAGGCACCGGCUAACUACGUGCCAGCAGCCGCGGUAAUACGUAGGGUGCGAGCGUUAAUCGGAAUUACUGGGCGUAAAGCGUGCGCAGGCGGUUUUGUAAGACAGGCGUGAAAUCCCCGGGCUCAACCUGGGAACUGCGCUUGUGACUGCAAGGCUAGAGUAUGGCAGAGGGGGGUGGAAUUCCACGUGUAGCAGUGAAAUGCGUAGAGAUGUGGAGGAACACCAAUGGCGAAGGCAGCCCCCUGGGCCAAUACUGACGCUCAUGCACGAAAGCGUGGGUAGCAAACAGGAUUAGAUACCCUGGUAGUCCACGCCCUAAACGAUGUCAACUAGGUGUUGGGUGGGUAAAACCAUUUAGUACCGGAGCUAACGCGUGAAGUUGACCGCCUGGGGAGUACGGCCGCAAGGUUAAAACUCAAAGGAAUUGACGGGGACCCGCACAAGCGGUGGAUGAUGUGGAUUAAUUCGAUGCAACGCGAAAAACCUUACCUACCCUUGACAUGUCCAGGAGCCUGAAGAGAUUUGGGUGUGCCCGAAAGGGAACUGGAACACAGGUGCUGCAUGGCUGUCGUCAGCUCGUGUCGUGAGAUGUUGGGUUAAGUCCCGCAACGAGCGCAACCCUUGUCGUUAAUUGCCAUCAUUUAGUUGGGCACUUUAACGAGACUGCCGGUGACAAACCGGAGGAAGGUGGGGAUGACGUCAAGUCCUCAUGGCCCUUAUGGGUAGGGCUUCACACGUCAUACAAUGGUCGGUACAAAGGGUUGCCAACCCGCGAGGGGGAGCCAAUCCCAGAAAGCCGAUCGUAGUCCGGAUCGCAGGCUGCAACUCGCCUGCGUGAAGUCGGAAUCGCUAGUAAUCGUGGAUCAGCAUGUCACGGUGAAUACGUUCCCGGGUCUUGUACACACCGCCCGUCACACCAUGGGAGCGGGUUCCGCCAGAAGUAGGUAGCCUAACCGCAAGGGGGGCGCUUACCACGGCGGGGUUCGUGACUGGGGUGAAGUCGAAACAAGGUA
rnacentral:rRNA from 1 species